GAAUAUGCACCCAGCGGCAGUGGUCUCGUAGGAAAUGGUGUUCUCGUAAGUCAGGCUGCCCCGCUGAAGCACGAGAGAGCUUUGGUUAGAGCUCAGAGCGUCAGUUCUGCUGUGAGUGCUGCCGGCAGUCUGCCCGGGUUGAGCUGUCCACUCGUCCAGGUGCUGAAGCUGGUGGAACAUUGGGGUUCUCUGGGUGCCAUGGCACUCAAUCAAACCACCUAGAAUGGACUGGCCGAGACCAGACUGGGUACCAAGCAGAGAAGUGCAGAGGAAGGCACUGGGAGAGCACCAGAAUUGGAAAUAGAGCGGCCAUUUGGAUUUGGGCAGGAAGCAGCCGAGCACAGCUUUGGAUCCUUCUUUAGGGAAAUCGAGUUAUGGAUUUAUGGUCCCGGUCAAGCUCAGCCCAUCCCCAGCCAGGGGCGGGCUCAGCAAGCAGCA
rnacentral:lncRNA from 1 species